UACAGAGGGGGCAAGCGUUGUUCGGAAUUACUGGGCGUAAAGGGCGCGUAGGCGGCCUGCUAAGUCGAACGUGAAAUCCCCGGGCUCAACCCGGGAACUGCGUCCGAUACUGGUGGGCUUGAAUCCGGGAGAGGGAUGUGGAAUUCCAGGUGUAGCGGUGAAAUGCGUAGAUAUUGGGAGGAACACCAGUGGCGAAGGCGGCUCGCUGGACCGGUUCUGACGCUGAGGCGCGAAAGCGUGGGGAGCAAACGGG
rnacentral:rRNA from 1 species